rnacentral:rRNA from 1 species
GAUGAACGCUGGCGGCGUGCUUAACACAUGCAAGUCGAACGAUGAAGCCCAGCUUGCUGGGUGGAUUAGUGGCGAACGGGUGAGUAACACGUGAGUAACCUGCCCUUAACUCUUGGAUAAGCCUGGGAAACUGGGUCUAAUACCGGAUAGGAGCUUCCACCGCAUGGUGGGUGUUGGGAAGAUUAAUCGGUUUUGGAUGGACUCGCGGCCUAUCAGCUUGUUGGUGGGGUAGUGGCUCACCAAGGCGACGACGGGUAGCCGGCCUGAGAGGGAGAGCGGCGACCAUGGGACUGAGACACGGCCCAGACUCGUACGGGAGGCAGCAGUGGGGAGUAUUGCACAAUGGGCGCAAGCCUGAUGCAGCGACGCCGCGUGAGGGAUGACGGCCUUCGGGUUGUAAACCUCUUUCAGUAGGGAAGAAGCGAAAGUGACGGUACCUGCAGAAGAAGCACCGGCUAACUACGUG